CCAGCUCACGGGAGAAAGGGGGCUGUGGCAGUCGGCUGGUUCCAGUCCUUCCUGGGACGCCCGAGACUGGCCCGCGUGUCUUCACGGAUGUGGUCUUCGUAGGGCCCUCACGUCUCGGACCCGAGUGCUUACUGCAAGGUAUCUUCUCCCUCUCCCGCGAAGGCCUGUGUCUAGAAGAUAGGUGCUCGUGGGAAGAACCGUGCGUGAACGAGGGAGCCUGGUCCUGUUGGGGGCGCUGACGAAGUUCGGACCUUUUAUUUAUUUGUGCGUGCUGCGUUUUAAACCUGCGCUCUCCUUUCCGGUUCCGGCGUGGCUGUGGCCUUCCAGUCCAAGCAGAACACCUGACUGGACUCCAGAUCACCUUCUCUUGGGACUUCCCUCCGUUCAAGUGCAAGUCCAAGUCAUUAUGGACCCUCCAACCGGGCGUUCCUGAUGGGGACCGCAGCCAGAUCCAACCCUUCCCUGGGGUCCGGCACAGAACAGGAGGAGUUCAUUCGGAUACUGCAUGUACUCACUCUACUUCAGCCACAGUUAGGACUCCUGUGUAGGUCUGAAUCUGCCACAAGCUGCCUGUCCUGCACCCUGGUGCCACUCCCUUCGAGGAGACUUCCUUGACCCCCAGUCUGGGCUUAUGAGUCCUCGUUAUGCAAGGAAGACACAGAAGGCGAAGGCGAAGAGAACACAUUUUUACAUCUCAUCCUUUAUGUUCAAAGUGCAAGAAUACAUGCACCCAAUGGAAAUUAA